rnacentral:rRNA from 1 species
AGCGAACGCUGGCGGCAGGCCUAACACAUGCAAGUCGAACGCACCUUCGGGUGAGUGGCGGACGGGUGAGUAACACGUGGGAACGUGCCUUUAGGUUCGGAACAACACAGGGAAACUUGUGCUAAUACCGGAUAAGCCCUUCGGGGGAAAGAUUUAUCGCCUUUAGAGCGGCCCGCGUCUGAUUAGCUUGUUGGUGAGGU